UACGUAGGGGGCAAGCGUUGUCCGGAUUUAUUGGGCGUAAAGAGCUCGUAGGCGGUUUGGAAAGUCGGGUGUGAAAACUCCGGGCUCAACUCGGAGACGCCACUCGAUACUGCCAUGACUUGAGUCCGGUAGGGGAGUGCGGAAUUCCUGGUGUAGCGGUGAAAUGCGCAGAUAUCAGGAGGAACACCGGUGGCGAAGGCGGCACUCUGGGCCGGUACUGACGCUGAGGAGCGAAAGCGUGGGGAGCGAACAGG
rnacentral:rRNA from 1 species